rnacentral:rRNA from 1 species
AGUGAACGCUGGCGGUAGGCCUAACACAUGCAAGUCGAACGGCAGCACAGUAAGAGCUUGCUCUUACGGGUGGCGAGUGGCGGACGGAUGAGAACUACAUAUGAAUCUACUUUUUCGUGGGGGCUAACGUAGGGAAACUAACGCUGCUACCGCAUAACACAUAAGGGUGAAAGAAGGGGAUCUUCGGACCUUGCGCGAUUGACUGAGCCGAUGUCGGAUUAGCUAGUUGGCGGGGUAAAGGCCCACCAAGGCGACGAUCCGUAGCUGGUCUGAGAGGAUGAUCAGCCACACUGGAACUGAGACACGGUCCAGACUCCUACGGGAGGCAGCAGUGGGGAAUAUUGGACAAUGGGCGCAAGCCUGAUCCAGCCAUACCGCGUGGGUGAAGAAGGCCUUCGGGUUGUAAAGCCCUUUUGUUGGGAAAGAAAAGCAGCAGGUUAAUACCCCGCUGUUCUGACGGUACCCAAAGAAUAAGCACCGGCUAACUUCGUG